rnacentral:misc_RNA from 1 species
AACGCACGAGACCUGCGGACCUGCGGAGGGAUCAUCAAUGAGAAGCUGCCCCUCGUGGGUAGACCUCCCACCCUCUGUGAACUUACCUUUGUUGCUUUGGCAGGCCCGUCCUCUGGACCGCCGGCUUCGGCUGGCCCGUGCCUGCCAGAGGAUUCCAAACCCUGUCUGUCAGUGUUGUCUGAGUCUAUAUGAAAUCGUUAAAACUUUCAACAAUGGAUCUCUAGAUCGGAAGAGCACACG